AUUGAACGCUGGCGGCGCGCUUAACACAUGCAAGUCGAGCGAGAACCGGGGCUUCGGCCCCGGGGACAGCGGCGAACGGGUGAGUAACACGUGAGUAACCUGCCCUCGGCACCGGAAUAGCCCGGGGAAACUCGGAUUAAUGCCGGAUAGCCCCUCUGCCCUGCGGGGCGGCGGGAAAAGGUAGCUUCGGCCUCUGGCCGAGGAUGGGCUCGCGGCGGAUUAGCUUGUUGGCGGGGUAACGGCCCACCAAGGCGACGAUCCGUAGCUGGUCUGAGGGGACGAGCAGCCACACUGGGACUGAGACACGGCCCAGACUCCUACGGGAGGCAGCAGUGGGGAAUCUUGCGCAAUGGGCGAAAGCCUGACGCAGCGACGCCGCGUGAGGGAGGAAGGCCUUCGGGUUGUAAACCUCUUUCAGGAGGGACGAAGCUACUCGGGUGAAUAGCCCAGAGGGUGACGGUACCUCCAGAAGAAGCCCCGGCUAACUACGUGCCAGCCGCCGCCGUAACAC
rnacentral:rRNA from 1 species